GUUUAAACUUACACGAAUCGCUCUCUUGAGGAGGAGGGAACCGCCGCGCGAUUGACACGCAUAUUCCUAUAGGCAUCCUCCCUCAGCCCCCACCCCCACGGCCGGAUUCGGGUGGCUCCUCUCCGAGCUGAAAUCCGAGAAGAAAUCUCCUUGGAUCUCUUGUUAAAAAAAAAAAAAAAAAAAAAAUCCAGAAACCGUCGGUAUUUUGCUUUCCUGCUUCCUUUUCGCAUGAUGAAGAAGUUUUUCGACUCCAGGCGAGAGCAGGGUGGCUCUGGCCUGGGCUCCGGCUCCAGCGGAGGAGGGGGCAGCACCUCGGGCCUGGGCAGCGGCUACAUCGGACGGGUCUUUGGCAUUGGGCGACAGCAGGUCACUGUGGACGAGGUGCUGGCGGAAGGUGGAUUUGCCAUCGUGUUUCUGGUGAGGACAAGCAAUGGAAUGAAAUGUGCCUUGAAACGCAUGUUUGUCAACAACGAGCAUGAUCUCCAGGUGUGCAAGAGAGAAAUCCAGAUAAUGAGGGACCUGUCGGGGCAUAAGAACAUCGUGGGUUACAUUGACUCCAGUAUCAACAGUGUGAGUAGCGGUGAUGUGUGGGAAGUUCUCAUCCUGAUGGACUUCUGCAGGGGAGGCCAAGUGGUCAACCUGAUGAACCAGCGCCUGCAAACAGGUUUUACAGAAAAUGAAGUACUCCAGAUAUUUUGUGACACCUGUGAAGCUGUCGCCCGCCUGCAUCAGUGCAAAACUCCUAUUAUCCACCGUGACUUGAAGGUUGAGAAUAUUCUCUUGCAUGACCGAGGCCACUAUGUCCUGUGUGACUUUGGAAGUGCUACCAACAAAUUCCAGAACCCACAAACGGAAGGAGUCAAUGCAGUAGAAGAUGAGAUUAAGAAGUACACAACGCUGUCCUAUCGCGCACCAGAGAUGGUCAACCUGUAUAGUGGCAAGGUCAUCACGACGAAGGCAGACAUUUGGGCUCUCGGAUGUUUGUUGUAUAAAUUAUGUUACUUCACUUUGCCAUUUGGGGAGAGUCAAGUGGCAAUUUGUGAUGGAAACUUCACAAUUCCUGAUAACUCUCGAUAUUCCCAAGACAUGCACUGCCUAAUUAGGUAUAUGUUGGAACCAGACCCUGACAAAAGGCCGGAUAUUUACCAGGUUUCCUACUUCUCAUUUAAACUACUCAAGAAAGAAUGCCCAAUUCCAAAUGUACAGAACUCUCCCAUUCCUACAAAGCUCCCUGAACCAGUGAAAGCCAGUGAGGCAGCUGCAAAGAAGACCCAGCCAAAGGCCAGACUGACAGAUCCCAUUCCCACUACAGAGACGUCAAUUGCACCCCGCCAGAGGCCUAAAGCUGGGCAGACUCAGCCCAACCCAGGAAUCCUCCCCAUCCAACCAGCCCUGACCCCUCGGAAGAGGGCCACAGUUCAGCCCCCACCUCAAGCCGCAGGAUCCAGCAAUCAGCCUGGUCUUUUAGCCAGUGUUCCUCAACCAAAAACGCAGCCCCCACCCAGUCAACCGCUACCACAGUCUCAGCCCAAGCAGCCUCAGGCUCCUCCCACCUCACAGCAGCCGCCUUCCACACCAGCCCAGGCUCUGCCCACCCAGGCCCAGGCCACACCCCAGCACCAGCAGCAACUCUUCCUCAAGCAGCAGCAGCAGCAGCAGCAGCAGCAGCAGCAGACAGCGCCAUCUGCACAGCAGCCAGUGGGCACGUUCUACCAGCAGCCGCAGCAGCAGGCCCAGGCUCCGCAGUUUCAGGCAGUACACCCAGCAGCCCAGCAACCAGUGAUCGCUCAGUUCCCUGUGGUAUCUCAAGGAAGCUCUCAACAGCAGCUGAUACAAAACUUCUACCAGCAGCAGCAGCAGCAACAGCAGCUGGCCACAGCCCUGCAUCAACAACAGCUGCUGACUCAGCAGGCUGCCUUGCAGCAGAAGACGACAGUGGCGGCUGUACCGCAGCCCCAAGCACAGCCGGCCACAGCAGCCUCGCCAGCCCCUGCCCAGGAGCCAGCGAUUCAGGCCCCAGUAAGACAACAGCCGAAGGUUCAGACAACCCCACCUCCUACCAUCCAGGGGCAGAAACUUGGAUCUCUCACUCCUCCAUCAUCCCCCAAGGCCCAGCGUGCUGGGCACAGGCGAAUUCUCAGCGAUGUGACCCACAGCGCAGUCUUUGGGGUCCCUGCCAGCAAAUCAACCCAGCUGCUCCAAGCAGCUGCAGCUGAGGCCAGUCUCAAUAAGUCCAAGUCUGCAACCACCACUCCUUCAGGCUCCCCUCGGGCCUCCCAGCAAAAUGUUUAUAAUCCUUCAGAAGGUUCUACGUGGAAUCCCUUUGAUGACGACAAUUUCUCCAAACUCACAGCUGAAGAACUGCUAAACAAGGACUUUGCCAAGCUGGGGGAAGGCAAAUAUCCUGAGAAGCUUGGAGGCUCUGCUGAGAGUUUGAUCCCAGGCUUUCAACCAACCCAAGGUGAUGCUUUUGCUGCUCCCUCAUUUUCCGCUGGAACUGCUGAAAAAAGGAAGGGUGGGCAGACUGUGGAUUCUAGCCUUCCUCUUCUAAGUGUAUCUGAUCCUUUCAUUCCUCUUCAAGUACCUGAUGCACCAGAAAAACUAAUUGAGGGACUCAAAUCUCCUGACACUUCUCUUCUGCUCCCUGACCUCUUGCCUAUGACAGAUCCUUUUGGUAGCACUUCUGAUGCUGUAAUUGAAAAAGCUGACGUUGCUGUUGAGAGUCUGAUACCAGGACUGGAGCCCCCGGUGCCUCAGCGCCUCCCAUCUCAGACGGAAUCUGUGACCUCGAACCGUACAGGUCUCCAGAGAGAGCCCAUUCCCUCUCCUGUAAUAACUGUAGAGCACUUUAAAGAAUCGACGGGUGUUAAAGGCCUUCCCCUGUACCCGGACCCCUCCCGGGUACCUGGCACGAAAACUCAGAACAGUCUAGAAUCUGACUACUUGGCCCGAGAUGGCCCUUCCAGCAACAGUUCGUUCCACAGCAGUGAAGAGGAGGGGACCGACCUCGAGGGGGACAUGCUGGACUGCAGUGGCUCUCGCCCUCUGCUCUUGGAGUCGGAGGAAGAGGAUGAGAGCUGCAAGCCUCCGCAGGGGAAGCUAGGAGGAGCCACUCCCUUCACUCAGCCGGAGGUCACUUCCGCGCAGGCCAAGGCCUCGCAAGGUGGGAGGAAGAACCAAUUCGGAGCCCUCACCCAGCCGACCGCUGAUGGACUCGGUGAGCCAGAUGUGUUUGCCACUGCUCCCUUCCGGAGUUCAAGGAUUCCCGCUGAUGACAUUUUUGCCAAAGCCCCCUUUGUCUCCAAGGGCAACGUGGCCCUUUCCCAGCCAGAGGAGACGGAUGUGUUCUUGAGAGCUCCCUUUACCAAGAAGAAAGGCAUGGAGGAGUCAGCAGUUGCCCAGAGCCCCGCCCAGGAGCAGCCCGGUCUCCUCAGUCAGACCGAUGACAUCCCUCUGCUCCCAGGCCUGGAUCGAGCCGUGUACCCGUCCGCCCGAGCUCAGUAUUCCACUGCUGGCUUUGCCCAGCCGUCUAACCUCCCCUCCCAUCCUGUACAAGCAGCAGACCAUCUUGACAGCAUCUCUUCCAGGGGCUCUUCCCUGGAAUCUGGGGCCCAUCCUAAUGACAGAAACAAAGGACCUCAGCCCCAGAAAGAAGCUGUCUCAGGCCCCGUGGCAGGCAAACCAUUCCGCCCCCAGUCUUUAUCCAAAUAUUCCCGUCACUAUAGCCCGGAAGAUGAGCCGAAUCCAGAAGCCCAGCCCAUUGCUGCCUACAAAAUUGUUUCGCAAACCAAUAAGCAGUCGAUAGCUGGCUCCGUUUCCAUCACAUCCCUUGCCUCCAGGACUACGGAGCUGCCAGCUGCUGAUCCUUUUGCUUUAGCACCCUUUCCUUCAAAGUCAGGCAAACAGAAACCUUAG
rnacentral:lncRNA from 1 species